rnacentral:sRNA from 1 species
AAGUCGUAACAAGGUCUCCGUUGGUGAACCAGCGGAGGGAUCAUUAUAGAGUUCUAAACUCCAAACCUUUGUGAACAUAUACGUGUUGCUUCGGCGGGUUGGGGGGCCCAGCGCCCACCGUCGCCCGCCGGGGACCCAAACUCUUGCCUUCUAGCGGAAUCUUCUGAGUGAAAGCAAAUAAAAUCAAAACUUUCAGCAACGGAUCUCUUGGCUCUAGCAUCGAUGAAGAACGCAGCGAAAUGCGAUAAGUAAUGUGAAUUGCAGAAUUCAGUGAAUCAUCGAAUCUUUGAACGCACAUUGCGCCCGCCAGCACUCUGGCGGGCAUGCCUGUUCGAGCGUCAUUUCAACCCUCAGCGCCCCCCCGCGGGCGCUGGCGUUGGGGAUUGGCAGCCAGCCAGCCCCUAAAUCUAGUGGCGGUCCCUCCGCGACCUCCCCUGUGCAGUAGCGAUACCUCGCAGCGGGACAGCGGUCUGACCACGCCGUAAAACCCCCUACUUCUCAAGGUUGACCUCGGAUCAGGUAGGACUACCCGCUGAACUUAAGCAUAUCAAUAAGCGGAGGAAAAGAAACCAACAGGGAUUGCCUCAGUAACGGCGAGUGAAGCGGCAACAGCUCAAAUUUGAAAUCUGGCCCCAGGCCCGAGUUGUAAUUUGCAGAGGAUGCUUCUGGCGACGUGCCUUCCAAGUUCCCUGGAACGGGACGCCAUAGAGGGUGAGAGCCCCGUACGGUAGUGCACCUAGCCUCUGUGAAGCUCCUUCGAC